rnacentral:lncRNA from 1 species
GCGUUCAAUUUUCAAGUUCAAGUUAGAGAAGCAUCAGGAGAAGCCCUCCUGAAGAACAGGGUCAACUUUUAGUUUACAAUUUCAAGUCAGAGAAGCAUCAGGAGCCCGCCUGAAGAACAUGGUCAACUUUCAAUUUUCAAGUUCAAGGUAUAGAAGCAUCAGGAGCCUGCCUGAAGAACAACGUCAAUUUUCAGUUUACAAGUUCAAGUCGAAGAGGCAUCAGGAUCCCGCCUGAAGAACAGGGUCAACUUUCAGUUUUCAAGUUCAAGUUAGAGGCAGCAGGAUCCCGCCUGAAGAAUAGGGUUAACCUCCAGUUUUUUUCAAGUCAAAUGAGAAGUAGCACGAGCCGCAUGAAGGACAAGGUUUGCAAGCUCGAGUCUACCGCAAGUUCACGUUUAUUUCAAGUGCAAGCAGCAGGGUGCACGCAUGAAGAAUAGGGUCAACUUCCAGUGUUCUUUAGACUCAAGUCAGCAGGAUGCCCACUUGAAGAAUGGGGUUGAAUUUUCAGUUUCAUGAUUGAAGGAUCAAGUGGAUAUUCAAGGAAGAUUCGAGACAAGAAGUAGAUACGAUCUUGUAUUUUUUUUAUUUUUGAUGUAAUUUUUCCUUUUAUUUUUUAUAUAAUGGAAGGAACCGCGGACCGGAACCUCGACGGCGCCUCAAUCGGCUCUCCACCUCGGUAUACUCCAUCACUCUUCUCACUUUUGAACUACACGUGGCCUGAUUCCUGUAUAGUCAAGGAUAUGUAGGCAGCUUAAAUACCAAGGCUCGGUCACAAUCUUUUGUCCAUCUUUAUUUCGUUUUGAAUAAGCGUCGGGUCAUAAAUCAAUUACGUUGCUUAUUGUUAGCCUAUUUUUCACUUUUAAUCUAAUAGUAGAACAUAAAAUUCGAAAACACAAAAAAAUAGUUUCACUUUGUAUUUUUUACCUCAUUACAUAUCUUUUUCAAGAAUAUUAGUAUUUUUGGUAGAAAUAUUAUUUUAAUUUUGUGAUGAUUUUAAUCUAAU